rnacentral:rRNA from 1 species
GACGAACGCUGGCGGCGUGCUUAACACAUGCAAGUCGAACGGAAAGGCCCUGCUUUGGUGUGGUGCUCGAGUGGCGAACGGGUGAGUAACACGUGAGUAACCUGCCCUUGACUUUGGGAUAACUUCAGGAAACUGGGGCUAAUACCGGAUAGGAGCUCCGUCUGCAUGGUGGGGGUGGGAAAGUUUCGGCGGUUGGGUAUGGACUCGCCGCUUAUCAGCUUGUUGGUGGGGUAGUGGCUUACCAAGGCUUUGACGGGUGGCCGGCCCGGACGGGUGACCGGAACGACUGCGACUGAGCUGCGGCACAGCCCAGACUGGGAGGCAGCGGAGGGGAAGAGUGUACAACGGGAGGAAGCCUGACCCAGUACCGCGGCGUGGGGGAUGACGGCCAUGGGGUUGUAAUGUGAUUUCGUGUGUGACGAAGAGUGAGUGACGGUAAUGGGCAAAGAAGCAACGGCUAACUACGUG